rnacentral:lncRNA from 1 species
GGUGUCUUGGGUCACCUCCUAUUACACUUUGCUCCCUCCCCGCGAGACUCCUCUCUGGGUGGGCCCUGUCCACUUUCCCCCCUGAGAGAACCCUCACUUGCAACCCCUCUAUUGAAUGCCCACCUUCUGCCCAGUUUGACCAAGAGCUCCCGGAUGACUUCCUCUCCUUCCCACCCGUCCCGCUCACGACCAGCCCUCCAUAGAACUCAGCCUCGGGGGUCAGCACACCUAAGGGGCUCCUGCUUCUUUUUCAUUGCUUCUUCCUCACCUCUGAAUCUGACCGUAAUGGCUCUCUAGAAGUUACUAGUUACUUCAUAAAGGAUUUCUCAGAAGCAGAAUCCUGAGGUACGGAAUUCCUUGCCUCAGAAAGGUAAGAAAGAACUAAUAGACGCCAUUCAAGUCUGUAGACAACAGGCAUUUGUAAAUCGGGGGCAGCCUGUCUACAUGUUUCUGUUCAGUCGGUCUUCUAUCUACUUGCUCUGUGGAGAUUCCUUCAUCAGGUCCAUGAAUCUGCUGUUUUGGAUGCUGCAUAAGGCUUGACUCACAACGAAACUGCAACCUCAAGAACACCCGGGGCCAGGAUUGCGAGAAGGAAAUACAGGUGAACACACGCAAAAGCUGCCUGAGGAAAAGGUCUUGUUUCUCUUACAGAAUGGUCCUUCCAGGGCUGGGCGGAAGCCGUGAACUGGAAGGGCUGAAGGGGCUGGGAGUCAUGCUGACUUAGUGGAUUCGGCAGGGAGGGAAAGUAUGCAUCAGAACCACACAUGCCAAGCAACUCCUGCCUAGGAGGGUAGACGGGGCAGGGUGAGGAGGGGAGAGAGGGGAAUCACAAAACCCUAGGAUAUCAGAUUUGGAAAGUACCUUAGAAAAACAGCCCUGUCGAGCCUGCCUCUUACAGUUGCAGAAGGGAAGGCCAAGGGUUGGAAAGCAAUGUGCCAGGGGUCUCACAGUGGAAGGUCCAGGCUGGCAGCUGUUCUCCUAGAUGCCUGAGCCAGAGUUUUCUCAACCAUGGGAUUGACUUCUUGGAACCCCUGUAACAUCCUCAGGAUAUUGGGGUUGAAAACCUGUCCUGCUCCGAGUCUUCAGGCCUAUAAAGAAACACAGCCGGCUCUGGCAGCUGAGCAUUCCCACAGCAAAGCACCGACGCCACAACUCAGAUGCCCGACUGCUGGUUAUGGGCUAGGCACUCAUCUAAGCACUUGUGUAUGAACAUUAUUUCAUCCCAUCCUUACAGCCACCCCACAGUGCCACUCAUCAUCUCCGGGUGUGGAUACUGCAGCACAAGAAAACUCAGUAGCUGGCCUAAGGUCACACGGAUGGUAAGGAGGGCAGCUCGGCUUGGAGCUUUAACUUGAACACACAAUGCCUGACCCAGUUCCUAAAGGGUGCCCGCCUCAUCAUCAUGAUUCCUCCAUCAACAGGAUGGGUGAGAGCCCAGUGACUGCGCAUGCCGCUCGGUUUUGCACGGGGCGAGAAGAGAAGGAGAAGCAAAUUGUGGGGAUUUGAUUGGUAACUUCUGGCCAGGUGGACUGGGAAAUGUCUGAUUUUAUUUUCAAGACUGUUCUGAAAACUGAGAAAGCACAAGACUAACCGAAAAGAAGGCAGAGUUUUUUAACUGCCCCUCAGAAUUGAAGGAGAGCGAGCGAGAGCCAGAGUGGGAGAGUGAGAAGGAGAGAGAAGAUUAACAGUGGAAGUGGGGAGUGGAACCCAGAUAAGCCUGCAGAAGAGUCCUCCCAAUAGCCCUGUGCCCCUGGCCACAGCCAGCCCCUGCAGCCAGGUCCGUUGGAGAAGGGGAGUUACAGUAAUAGGCAGGGCGCUGCAGAUCAGCACCAAAACUCCCGGGGGUUCUGACAUGAAACCACAAACACUGCCUGUGAGGCCCUUCAGCCUCCAUGACAUACGUGAUGCUCACAGGACUGCACUAAGGGACCAAACUGGCUAUUUGGAAACUCUGAAUAAAGAAGACACCAGUGGAGUGGUGGGCUUCCCCCUUCUCCCUCCAGGCCAGGUGCCCUGUGGGUGUGUACCCCUCCCUUCCUCUGAGGCCAGGUUUUUGUUAAACCUUUAAGCCAGGGAUUCUCACAGGGUGGUCCAAGGACCCCCGGGAGGUCCUCCCUUUUACAACUCUAUAUCUACGUGAGGCUGGAUUUUCUUCAUAUGCUUCAACUCAGACAACAUAUCACAACAGACUGAAGGUGGGAACAAAUGUAGGAAUCCAGGUUCUUCUACUAAACCAGAUAUUUAAAGAGAUUUGGGACAAAUGUCAAACAGCACCGCUCUUCUCACUAAAUGUGCUCUGACUGGG